rnacentral:lncRNA from 1 species
UGUCAAUGAGAAAAUAUCAUCCAUGGGAUACAAGAGAGAUCAAUAUCAGCUUCCUUAUUUACUUGCAGGUGCUGGUAACACACAUGGGAUCUCCCUAGGAGCCAGUCGAACUCAAGCAUCUGGCUUUUCAGAAAAAUUAUACAGUGCAGCGUGAACUGAGCAAAACCUGGAUCCUGACAUUGUUCUGCUUGGUUGUGAGAUGAAGGCAUAGAGAGUUACCUUACAGUGGUAUAUUGAAGAAUAUGAAGUCAGGAGCAGAACUGGGAGGAAACUCUAGAUCUCUUAAACUCCAGCUCAGCACAAGAGAAAAGAAAAGCUUUACCAUCUGAUGAUAAGGAGCUAUCAAGCUGUUUCCUGCCUUUGAGUGCUAGUCCACAUACGCAUUCAGACGCAACCAGGAAAACAAGAUCCAAAACAAAAAGCAACCUCCAGCAGCUUAAAGUGAAGGGGUGGAAGGAGCUUCCAAAUUUGUAUUUGUUAUUAGAAAGGCACAUGUUUAUGCAGAACUUCAGAUCAUCGCCAAGUGGGAGCUAUCCUUGAUUCCAGGUGAUUGAAGUCCCGUUCCUGUGAGCUGAGCGGGUUGAGCAAGGGCAGAGACGAGCGUAUUCCAUCCCAGCCUGCAGCCAAUAUCCGAAGUGUGGCCUUCUGAAGCGCAGCUGGUUUUGUUUGUUGAAUAUGAAGUGACAAAUUACUGACAGUCCACUGGUUUUUGAGGGGCAUUCAAAACUAAAUGGGAACAGAUGAG